GACGAACGCUGGCGGCGUGCUUAACACAUGCAAGUCGAGCGGUAAGGCCCUUUCGGGGGUACACGAGCGGCGAACGGGUGAGUAACACGUGGGUGACCUGCCCUCAGCUCUGGGAUAAGCCUGGGAAACUGGGUCUAAUACUGGAUAUGACUCCACGGUGCAUGUCGUGGGGUGGAAAGCCUUGUGCGGCUGAGGAUGGGCCCGCGGCCUAUCAGCUUGUUGGUGGGGUGAUGGCCUACCAAGGCGACGACGGGUAGCCGGCCUGAGAGGGCGACCGGCCACACUGGGACUGAGACACGGCCCAGACUCCUACGGGAGGCAGCAGUGGGGAAUCUUGCGCAAUGGGCGAAAGCCUGACGCAGCGACGCCGCGUGAGGGAUGACGGCCUCGGUUGUAACGUACUUCUAC
rnacentral:rRNA from 1 species